AAUAAAAUGGCUGAAAAUAAAGGCGAUAAAUUGUAAAUUUAUUUAUAAGAAAAAUCUUUUUUAUUA
rnacentral:tRNA from 1 species